GGGAGGCAGAGGUGAGACACAGGUGAAACACAGGUGAGACAGAGGUGAGACAGAGGUUAGACAGAGGUGAGACCAGUGGCGGUUCUAGACUAAAUUACUCCCCGGGGGAGCAGUGUGUUCAUCUCUGUUCUCACCCAAAGUCAUGCAACACUCAGAAAUUGCGAUAGUGUGAGCCAAAGCACUCCAUAUGAAGAGUUUGUUCACACUGCUGGAUGUUUCUCCUCUGAAGCUGCUCUCUGCCUCUGUCAUUGUUUAUUUUACUCACGGAGCGCUUAGCAAGAUCCGAGCGCUUUAUUCGCCUAUCAGAGGCAGAUAGGCCUCUGAUAGGCCUAUCUGCACGACUCCACGACUCCAGAAAUGAUUAAAAAACUACAAAAUGACGUCUCCACGCUUCCGGCUUAAGAGAAGCAAUACGCAGCUGCGCUUCUGGCUUGGAAAACUGAUAUGCUGACAUGCGUACACAGAGCAGAGCUGUCCCCCCGCGACUCUCUCCCCGCCUCGUCUCACACAGUCUGUCAGCCUCUGUGCAGCAUCUUCGCAGCAAGCAGGGCCGCCUACAACAGCGGGGGGGCCGCCAAUUUGUCAACAAGCGUUAAUGAAAAAACGCUUUGCAGUCCAGAUUUAUUAUUAUUAUCUUUCAUUUUAAUUUUUUUUGGAAGUGCUCGUGCCCCCCCCCAUGAGUCAUGACACAAAUGCCGCCCCGGGCGGCUGCCCUGUUCGCCC